UGCAUAUCAAUAAGCGGAGGAAAAGAAACUAACAAGGAUUCCCCUAGUAACUGCGAGUGAAGCGGGAAAAGCUCAAAUUUAAAAUCUGAUGGUCUUUGGCCGUCCGAGUUGUAAUCUAGAGAAGCAUUAUCCGCGCUGGACCGUGUACAAGUCUCCUGGAACGGAGCGUCAUAGAGGGUGACAAUCCCGUCUUUGACACGGACUACCAGGGCUUUGUGAUGUGCUCUCAAAGAGUCGAGUUGUUUGGGAAUGCAGCUCUAAAUGGGUGGUAAAUUCCAUCUAAAGCUAAAUAUUGGCGAGAGACCGAUAGCGAACAAGUACCGUGAGGGAAAGAUGAAAAGAACUUUGGAAAGAGAGUUAAACAGUACGUGAAAUUGCUGAAAGGGAAACGCUUGAAGUCAGUCGCGUUGGCCGGGGAUCAACCUUGCUCUUUUGCUUGGUGUACUUCCCGGUUGAUGGGCCAGCAUCAGUUUUGACCGGUGGAUAAAGGCCAGGGGAAUGUGGCAUCUUCGGAUGUGUUAUAGCCCUUGGUCACAUACAUCGGUUGGGACUGAGGAACUCAGCAUGCCGCAAGGCCGGGUCUUUGACCACGUACGUGCUUAGGAUGCUGGCAUAAUGGCUUUAAUCGACCCGUCUUGAAACACGGACCAUGCUGGCUUAAUGGUCUUCAGCGACCCGUCUUGAAACACGGACCA
rnacentral:rRNA from 1 species